rnacentral:rRNA from 1 species
CUACGUGCCAGCAGCCGCGGUAAUACGUAGGGUGCGAGCGUUAAUCGGAAUUACUGGGCGUAAAGCGGGCGCAGACGGUUACUUAAGCAGGAUGUGAAAUCCCCGGGCUCAACCUGGGAACUGCGUUCUGAACUGGGUGACUAGAGUGUGUCAGAGGGAGGUAGAAUUCCACGUGUAGCAGUGAAAUGCGUAGAGAUGUGGAGGAAUACCGAUGGCGAAGGCAGCCUCCUGGGAUAACACUGACGUUCAUGCCCGAAAGCGUGGGUAGCAAACAGGAUUAGAUACCCUGGUAGUCCACGCCCUAAACGAUGUCGAUUAGCUGUUGGGCAGCAUGACUGCUUAGUAGCGAAGCUAACGCGUGAAAUCGACCGCCUGGGGAGUACGGUCGCAAGAUUAAAACUCAAAGGAAUUGACGGGGACCCGCACAAGCGGUGGAUGAUGUGGAUUAAUUCGAUGCAACGCGAAGAACCUUACCUACUCUUGACAUCCAUGGAAUCUUGUAGAGAUAUGA